UGGGGAAUAUUGGGCAAUGGACGCAAGUCUGACCCAGCGACGCCGCGUGCGGGAUGAAGGCCUUCGGGUUGUAAACCGCUUUCAGCAGGGAAGAAGCGAAAGUGACGGUACCUGCAAAAGAAGCACCGGCUAACUAUGUGCCAGCAGCCGCGGUAAUACAUAGGGUGCAAGCGUUGUCCGGAAUUAUUGGGCGUAAAGAGCUCGUAGGCGGUUUGGUAAGUCGGUUGUGAAAUCCCCAGGCUCAACCUGGGGCCUGCAUUCGAUACUGCCAUGACUAGAGUUUGGUAGGGGACCACGGAAUUCCUGGUGUAGCGGUGGAAUGCGCAGAUAUCAGGAGGAACACCAAUGGCGAAGGCAGGUCUCUGGGCCAAUACUGACACUGAGGAGCGAAAGCGUGGGGAGCGAACAGG
rnacentral:rRNA from 1 species